rnacentral:lncRNA from 1 species
AGACCGUAAUCGUACCCCCUCCUAACUGCCAAAGUGUCAUGGCCGCCGUCGGGACCUAUUGUGCUGACAUUUACAAUGUUUACAUAUAGAAAAGUUUGUUUUUUUCUGCUUAUAAUGCCGUUUUCUAAAGAUAUUAGUGAACAAAAUCGAUUUGCUAACAAUAUUUAAUAUAUUUUAAAUGUGCUAAAAUUGGAUUCAACAGCAAAAGUCGCAUAAAUAACAUAUAAAUAACGAAUUUGUUUACCUAUUACAAAUGGGGUUAUGUGGUUGUAACUGUUUAUUUUGGGAAUAAAAUGAAAAUGAUCAAUUAAACGACUGGAAAACUAUAGUGAAGUGAAGAACAUCUUGAAGUUCCAAGAUGAGGUAAAUCGAAAUAAUUGUAUGUUAGAAGGACAGAGAAUACGAAGAAAUGUUAUUGCUGCAUAUUUAGUGUAGUGAAAUACAAACUUCAAACAUUAUAAUAUAUUUUUUGAUUUCAAACAUUUCAUAUGAUUAUGAAAGAACAUCUUCCUCUUUAAAACAAUGAAGAAGUGAAGAACAUAAUAAAGUUCCAACGAAAAUGAUUCCAGAUGAGGAAAAUCGAAAUAAUGGUUGUAUUUUACGUGUAUAGAGAAUACGAAGAAAUGUUAUUGCUGCAAACUUAGUGUAGUGAAUUAAAAACUUAUUGUCAAAUACAAAUCAAUUUAUUUCAUACUUUUAUAAUAUAUAGUGAUAUAAUUUUAUGUGUUCAAAUAAAAAUAUUAAUAAAUAAAAUACAAUAAACACAAA